UAUCCAUUGCCGAGAAAUUCAACUUCUGUUGUUGUAGAUUAACUUCCGUAACGAUUAACUUCCGUAACGAUAUUUCCCCAAAUUUAAAUAAAAUAAAAAAUCCAUGCUGCCGAACAAGGAAUGUUAGUCCUGCCGAAGGUGUAAAUGUAACAAGGAUAUUGUAGAAUGGGAACAUUGAGAGCUUUCUACAUUGAACUUGAAAAUCCCCAAGGAAUUUUCUUUGCUGGACAGAUUAUAAAUGGGAGACUUGUUGUUGAACUGGAUGCAGAGAUGAAUAUGAGAGGAAUAAGCUUGACCUUUCAAGGACUAGCUGAUGUACAUUGGACAGAAACCCAACAAAACUCGUCAGGAGACACAAUAUCCAAAGAUUAUAGUGCAUCUGAGGUGUACUUUGAGCAUUCUCAGCCUGUGUUUGGAG